rnacentral:lncRNA from 1 species
AGAGGUUUGUACCUUUCUCUUAGAGGCAGCUGCAUCUUCCCAGGCACUCAGCACUCAUAUUUCAUUCUUCACUGUAGAGUUUUUCCUCUCGUAGUUUUGACUUACCCUGGCUGACACUGUGACAGUUACCUGACUGGUCACUUGAUCCCCUGCGACCCAGAAACAGUCAGCCUGGAGGGGUGUGGAGGCUCCACUACCCCUGGAGUUACAGGAAAUCGCCAUGAAACUGGAGGGGCCGGUGAGGUGGGCCAAGGAGUCAGCAUGGUCCUCAAAAGGCCUGCUACUGCCUUAAGGGGACGCACAUAUGAAUAACCCUCUUUGUGUUGCUGAAUUCUGACUGCUCAAGUCUCCAUCUACAGGAGCUUCAAGAGGUGGAUUUUUUUUCUAAAAGCUCCUCUGGAGACCUCACUCAGCACAGGACUCUCAGCAGCUCAUUCUAAUCCAGCUGCCAUCCCUGCCUCUGGCCUUGGCCCCAGUCCAGAAUGAGGACAUUUCUCAAUGGUUUAAGAGCUUCCUGCUUCUAGAAGAGCUCUAGUAACGAUGGUUUUUUUCAAAGAAGCAUACCCUUGGGAAGAAAUAUAAUUGUAAAUGAAGAUGUUACCGCUACUGGACUUCACACAAGAGAAGUGUGCCCCAGGGGCAAAUGACGCCCCCUGCAGGAGGAGCAGGGGAGGAAGGACAGCAGAGGUGCUGUGCUCUGCAGAGGAGCGGCAAUGAGAGCUGGGGACAGUGACAGGGAGAAGACCAUGAGGGCUCAGUGGCAUCACAGAGGGAAGAAGCCUGGGUCCAGAAAUGACCAUGAAGAAGACAUCCCACUAGCCAGAAACACCCAAUUGAAUAUUUUGGGAGUGUUAUUGGCAAAAAAAAAUAACCCCCUAGAGAUAUCCCCAUCCUAAUCCCCAUCACCUGUAAAUAUGUUACCUUAUAUGGCAAAAUGGACUUUGCCUGUGUGAUUAAGUUAACGAUCUUGACGUAGGGAGAAUAUUCUGGAUUAUUCAGAUAGGCCCACUGUAAUUGCAAGGAUCCUUCAAGGAAAAGAAGGAGGCAGGAAAGUCAGAUCAGAGGAGGCAAGGUGAGAGCAGGAGCAAGGUGAUUACUGGCUUUGAAAGUGGAGGUAGGGGCCACAAGCCAAAGAAUGCAGGUGGCCUUUAGAAGCUAGAAAAGGCAAGGGAAUGAACUCUUCAGAAGGAAUGCAGCUGUGUGGACACCUGGAAGGAAAUCCAUUGAGACCCAUGUCAGACUUCUG